AGAACCUGAAACCGUGUGCUUACAAGUAGUCAGAGCCCGUUAAUGGGUGAUGGCGUGCCUUUUGUAGAAUGAACCGGCGAGUUACGAUUUGAUGCAAGGUUAAGCAGUAAAUGUGGAGCCGUAGCGAAAGCGAGUCUGAAUAGGGCGUUUAGUAUUUGGUCGUAGACCCGAAACCAGGUGAUCUACCCUUGGUCAGGUUGAAGUUCAGGUAACACUGAAUGGAGGACCGAACCGACUUACGUUGAAAAGUGAGCGGAUGAACUGAGGGUAGCGGAGAAAUUCCAAUCGAACCUGGAGAUAGCUGGUUCUCUCCGAAAUAGCUUUAGGGCUAGCCUCAAGUGAUGAUUAUUGGAGGUAGAGCACUGUUUGGACGAGGGGCCCCUCUCGGGUUACCGAAUUCAGACAAACUCCGAAUGCCAAUUAAUUUAACUUGGGAGUCAGAACAUGGGUGAUAAGGUCCGUGUUCGAAAGGGAAACAGCCCAGACCACCAGCUAAGGUCCCAAAAUAUAUGUUAAGUGGAAAAGGAUGUGGCGUUGCCCAGACAACUAGGAUGUUGGCUUAGAAGCAGCCAUCAUUUAAAGAGUGCGUAAUAGCUCACUAGUCGAGUGACACUGCGCCGAAAAUGUACCGGGGCUAAACAUAUUACCGAAGCUGUGGAUUGUCCUUUGGACAAUGGUAGGAGAGCGUUCUAAGGGCGUUGAAGCAUGAUCGUAAGGACAUGUGGAGCGCUUAGAAGUGAGAAUGCCGGUGUGAGUAGCGAAAGACGGGUGAGAAUCCCGUCCACCGAUUGACUAAGGUUUCCAGAGGAAGGCUCGUCCGCUCUGGGUUAGUCGGGUCCUAAGCUGAGGCCGACAGGCGUAGGCGAUGGAUAACAGGUUGAUAUUCCUGUACCACCUAUA
rnacentral:rRNA from 1 species